rnacentral:tRNA from 1 species
GGAGAGAUGGCCGAGUAGGUCGAAGGCGGUCGCCUGCUAAGCGAUUAUACGAGCUAAAACUCGUAUCGAGGGUUCGAAUCCCUCUCUCUCCGCCA